rnacentral:lncRNA from 1 species
AUUGAUACGGCUACUUCUUCAGUUCUUAGUGGUAUAAGUAUCUUAUAUCAUAUGAUAUAGAGAUUAAGUUAUAAUAGUUUCCCUUGCUGGUCACUUCUAGCCAAAAAUCUGACUGGGCAACAAUGAAAUACUAUAGUAUUAAUGAAUGGGUGUUUUUAUAAUGGCCCUGUUAUAUGUCCAAGGUCUGUUAUAAUGGUCGAGGAAGUUUGUAAUGGCCCGAAGCAACGCCGAGGGCCAUUACAGACAUCCGAGGCCAUUAUUACUGACCGAGGACAUAUAACAGAGCCAUUAUAAAAACACCCAUUUCUUAAUACAUUUAUUAACCAACUGAAUAAAAGUGUAUGUGUUAAUAUACCAAAUAUCCAAGAUAUUAAGUUGACAGAAGUUAUGUGUUGAAAAACAGGAGGAACAGUGAUCCCUAUAUAUGGUUCUUUAAUGUUGGUUGCUGGUUACUAAAUUAAAUAAAAUAUAAAAAAGUAUUAUACUCUUUACAACUUAAUUUUAUUAACUUUAUUAAAAACCUAACUGUGCUUUAUACAGACAAACCGGGCAUUAAUACAGGGCCAUUACAGAAAAAACAGGGCCAUUACAGAAAAAACAGGGCCAUUACAGAAAAAACAGGACCAUUACAGAAAAACAGGGCCAUUACAGAAAAACAGGGCCAUUACAGAAAAAAACAGGGCCAUUACAGAAAAUAUGUUAUUUUUAAUAACCAGUCAUUUUUGGCAAUAAUGUACUUAGUUGGUUAAUAAAGUUCAACAUUAUUUAUGAUUAAAUAACUUUUACUAUGUUUUGCUAUUAAACGGAC